UACAGAGGUCCCAAGCGUUGUUCGGAUUCACUGGGCGUAAAGGGUGCGUAGGUGGUGAGGUAAGUCGGAUGUGAAAGCUCCGAGCUCAACUCGGAAAUGGCAUUGGAAACUACCUUGCUCGAGGGUUUGGGGGGGGACUGGAAUACUUGGUGUAGCAGUGAAAUGCGUAGAUAUCAAGUAGAACACCAGUUGGCGAAGGCGAGUCCCUGGAAAACUCCUGACACUGAGGCACGAAAGCUAGGGGAGCAAACAGG
rnacentral:rRNA from 1 species